rnacentral:lncRNA from 1 species
GAGUGAUACAUUAUUAGUAAAUAGUAAUGACUAUUGAGCUUAACCUAAUACUCAUAUAAUCAGUAACUUCCACUCCACAUGAAUUAUGGACUAAACACAAACUUGUUUGUGGAUCUUAAAAUCAAAGGGUUAUAAAAUUGCUUAUGAACCUUCGUAUAAUAUUGAAGGACCAAGAGAAAAAAUAUAUUCUUUCUAAGAUACCUUAAACAGUCAAAAGAAUAUGUUUUCCUUAGUAAGCGAGAGCGAGU